AUCACUCGGCUAGCUGCGAGAACUAAUGUGAAUUGCAGGACACAUUGAUCAUCGACACUUCGAACGCACUUUGCGGCCCCAGGUUCCUCCUGGGGCUACGUCUGUCUGAGGGUC
rnacentral:rRNA from 1 species